rnacentral:rRNA from 1 species
AUGGAUUUCCUCUUCAACUCGCUCGCGGCGCCCGACCCCGCCUCGCCGCCGUCGGAGCCGGAGGAGGCCGCCGCGGGGUCCUCCUCGCCCGCCGGCUCCGGCGACGGGGGCGGGUGGGGCGGCUUCGGCGGGCUGCUCAAGACCCUCACCUCCCAGUCCGAGACCGUGCUCGACGCCUACCGCCGCGACCUCGCCGAGUUCAGCACCGGCCUGCGCCGCGAGACCGACGCGCUCCGCGAGGCCGCCGCCCAGGCGGCCCGGGACCUCCCCUCCUCGGCCCUCGCGCUCGACGGCCUCGCCGACAUCGUCGCCCAGGGCAAGGGCGCCAUCGCCCAGGUCGCCGCCACCGCCGCCGCCUCCGCAGCCUCCCUGCCCGCGCCCUCCGACGCCGACUCCGAGCCCAGCCCCGCCUCGGGCCACCUCAGGUACUACAGCCGCUUCGAGGCGCUGCUCCGCGCGCUCCAGUCGGAUCCGGCCACCUUCACCGCCGAUCCCGAGGACGCCGAGGACUUCGCGGCCUGGGGCGCGGGGUUUAGCCUCCAGGAGAGGCAGGAUGAGAUCGAGGCGCUCUGCUACGAGAGCGACGCCGUGGAGGGGAUGGUGGACAGGCUCGUCCCCGACGCCGUGGAGGGCGAGGUGUUCUGGGCCAGGUACUUUUACCGCGUCCACAAGCUCAAGCAGCAGGAGGACGCCAGGGCCAAGCUCGUCAAGCGGGUCAUCGCGCAGGAGGAAGAGGAGGAUCUGAGCUGGGAGGUGGAUGACGAGGUCGAGGAGGAGGAGCCAGCAAAAGAGGAGGCGAUCAAGCAAGCGCCGAUCAAAGAAGAACCGAAACCUGAAGUACAGGAAAGAGAAAAUGAGAAACUGGAGGCAGAAGGCAGAGUCAAUGCAGUUGAAGAGGCUGGUGCUCUGGAUAAGGAACAGAAGAAUGCCGAUUUACCGCAGCCGGAAGUUUUCGGUAGCUCUAUGGUUGUAGUGGACAAGGAGGAGGAGAAGGAAGAUGCAUCCAAAUUGAAUGUCGAAGAAUCAAGUGACAAGAAAACUGCUGCUGAGGAACCACAUUCUACUGCUGGCGAUGCUGCAGCGAAAGAAGGGACAAAGCAUGAGACAAGUGACUCAAGCAAGGAUAGUGACUACUCCAUGGUUUCUAGACAGCGAACAGCGACCGAGGAGGAUCUCGAAUGGGACGAGAUUGAGGAUCUCGGGGAGCAUGAAGAGAAGAAGGGGAGCGCUCAUGGCUCAAGCUCUGCUCCAAAGGAGGAGCUACAUAAGAGGCUCAGUGUUGCGGAAGACGACGAGGAUUUGAGUUGGGACAUUGAGGAUGAUGAUGAUGAUAAGGCCUGA